rnacentral:rRNA from 1 species
GUAAGCUACUAAGAGCGAAUGGUGGAUGCCUUGACUGGUAAAGGCGAUGAAGGACGUACUAGACUGCGAUAAGCUACGGGGAGCUGUCAAGAAGCUUUGAUCCGUAGAUUUCCGAAUGGGGCAACCCAAUGUAUAGAGAUAUACAUUACCUAUAUAGGAGCGAACGAGGGGAAUUGAAACAUCUUAGUACCCUCAGGAAAAGAAAUCAAUAGAGAUUGCGUCAGUAGCGGCGAGCGAAAGCGCAAGAGGGCAAACCCAGUGCUUGCACUGGGGGUUGUAGGACUGCAAUGUGCAAGAGGUGAGUUUAGCAGAACAUUCUGGAAAGUAUAGCCAUAGAGGGUGAUAGUCCCGUAUGCGAAAAACAAACCUUAGCUAGCAGUAUCCUGAGUAGGGCGGGACACGAGAAAUCCUGUCUGAAGCUGGGUCGACCACGAUCCAACCCUAAAUACUAAUACCAGAUCGAUAGUGCACAAGUACCGUGAGGGAAAGGUGAAAAGAACUGAGGUGAUCAGAGUGAAAUAGAACCUGAAACCAUUUGCUUACAAUCAUUCAGAGCCCUAUGUAGCAAUACAGGGUGAUGGACUGCCUUUUGCAUAAUGAGCCUGCGAGUUGUGGUGUCUGGCAAGGUUAAGCAAACGCGAAGCCGUAGCGAAAGCGAGUCUGAAUAGGGCGCUUAGUCAGAUGCUGCAGACCCGAAACGAAGUGAUCUAUCCAUGAGCAAGUUGAAGCUAGUGUAAGAACUAGUGGAGGACUGAACCCAUAGGCGUUGAAAAGCCCCGGGAUGACUUGUGGAUAGGGGUGAAAGGCCAAUCAAACUUCGUGAUAGCUGGUUCUCUCCGAAAUAUAUUUAGGUAUAGCGUUGUGUCGUAAUAUAAGGGGGUAGAGCACUGAAUGGGCUAGGGCAUACACCAAUGUACCAAACCCUAUCAAACUCCGAAUACCUUAUAUGUAAUCACAGCAGUCAGGCGGCGAGUGAUAAAAUCCGUCGUCAAGAGGGAAACAACCCAGACUACCAGCUAAGGUCCCUAAAUCUUACUUAAGUGGAAAACGAUGUGAAGUUACUUAAACAACCAGGAGGUUGGCUUAGAAGCAGCCAUCCUUUAAAGAAAGCGUAAUAGCUCACUGGUCUAGUGAUUUUGCGCGGAAAAUAUAACGGGGCUAAAGUAAGUACCGAAGCUGUAGACUUGCGCACAACUUAGAUUAUUUAAGUUUAGAAUAUGAGAAACUAAGUUAUAUGUUUAGUUAUAUUUUUACUGAUUUUUAUAGAGUAAAGAUAGAAAUAAAACUUAGUAAAAUCAGUAAAAAUAUUCUUAGACUAAAGUUAAGUAGUUUAAGUUGUGUGCAAGUGGUAGGAGAGCGUUCUAUUUGCGUCGAAGGUAUACCGGUAAGGAGUGCUGGAGCGAAUAGAAGUGAGCAUGCAGGCAUGAGUAGCGAUAAUUAAUGUGAGAAUCAUUAACGCCGUAAACCCAAGGUUUCCUACGCGAUGCUCGUCAUCGUAGGGUUAGUCGGGUCCUAAGUCGAGUCCGAAAGGGGUAGACGAUGGCAAAUUGGUUAAUAUUCCAAUACCAACAUUAGUGUGCGAUGGAAGGACGCUUAGGGCUAAGGGGGCUAGCGGAUGGAAGUGCUAGUCUAAGGUCGUAGGAGGUUAUACAGGCAAAUCCGUAUAACAAUACUCCGAGAACUGAAAGGCUUUUUGAAGUCUUCGGAUGGAUAGAAGAACCCCUGAUGCCGUCGAGCCAAGAAAAGUUUCUAAGUUUAGCUAAUGUUGCCCGUACCGUAAACCGACACAGGUGGGUGGGAUGAGUAUUCUAAGGCGCGUGGAAGAACUCUCUUUAAGGAACUCUGCAAAAUAGCACCGUAUCUUCGGUAUAAGGUGUGGUUAGCUUUGUAUUAGGAUUUACUCCGAAAGCAAGGAAACUUACAACAAAGAGUCCCUCCCGACUGUUUACCAAAAACACAGCACUCUGCUAACUCGUAAGAGGAUGUAUAGGGUGUGACGCCUGCCCGGUGCUCGAAGGUUAAUUGAUGGGGUUAGCAUUAGCGAAGCUCUUGAUCGAAGCCCGAGUAAACGGCGGCCGUAACUAUAACGGUCCUAAGGUAGCGAAAUUCCUUGUCGGUUAAAUACCGACCUGCAUGAAUGGCGUAACGAGAUGGGAGCUGUCUCAAAGAGGGAUCCAGUGAAAUUGUAGUGGAGGUGAAAAUUCCUCCUACCCGCGGCAAGACGGAAAGACCCCGUGGACCUUUACUACAGCUUGACACUGCUACUUGGAUAAGAAUGUGCAGGAUAGGUGGGAGGCUUUGAGUAUAUGACGCCAGUUGUAUAUGAGCCAUUGUUGAGAUACCACUCUUUCUUAUUUGGGUAGCUAACCAGCUUGAGUUAUCCUCAAGUGGGACAAUGUCUGGUGGGUAGUUUGACUGGGGCGGUCGCCUCCCAAAUAAUAACGGAGGCUUACAAAGGUUGGCUCAGAACGGUUGGAAAUCGUUCGUAGAGUAUAAAGGUAUAAGCCAGCUUAACUGCAAGACAUACAAGUCAAGCAGAGACGAAAGUCGGUCUUAGUGAUCCGGUGGUUCUGUGUGGAAGGGCCAUCGCUCAAAGGAUAAAAGGUACCCCGGGGAUAACAGGCUGAUCUCCCCCAAGAGCUCACAUCGACGGGGAGGUUUGGCACCUCGAUGUCGGCUCAUCGCAUCCUGGGGCUGGAGCAG